rnacentral:lncRNA from 1 species
UGGGAGGCGAGGAGGCAGCCUGAGGGAAGGAACAGGAGGGAAGAGAGAUGAAGGGCAAGACCGGGGCCAGCCAUGCCUGUCCUAACAGCAGCCACCCAGCAGUGGCCCAGCCUGCUGAGAACUAGAAAAUCAGAAGAAAAAGGAGAAUCCACCAGGAGACCCAGGUUCGCAUGAGCAGGGGCCUUUAUCUGAAGUUAAUGGAAGCUGAGCCAGGUCCUGACAAUGUGCCUUCUGAUGGGGAGAUGAGACUUUCCUCUGAAAGCUAAGGUAACUCUGAAGCGUGAGCUGCCAGAAUUCAAGUAGGAGUGUCUUUGAAUAGAAUAUUUACCGUCAACCCUAAAGGAGAGCUGGUACAGGAACAUGCAAAGACCAACAUCUCUUCGUAUGUGAGACUCUGUGAAGUAGUCGACCACGUUUUCCCGUUGCUGAAAAGAAGCCAUUCUUCAGACUUUCCCUGUUCGGAUACCUUCAGUAACUUCACCUUUUGGAGAGAGCCACUGCCACCUUUUGAAAACCAGGACAUUCAUUCUGCCUCAGCGUAAAAUGUCCCAAGCAGCCUCUUGCCAGCAGUGCAGAGCCUGGUUGUCACCCAUUAAAGGAUAGGUCUCCCCGGAGUGCACAGCUCCACCUGGGAGCCUGGCGCGUCAUC